CCCCACAGCAGGGGGCGAGAUGGCUGCGGGGGGGCAUCAUAUCUGGGGGUGACCUUGGUUUGCGGGGAGAGAAGGAGGUGGUUCUCAAUCUGCAAACCGGGAGGCUGGGAGGGGAGAGGCUGAGUGAGAAGGAGGGAAGGGCUGCCCCUCCCCCUGUGGGUCAGGAGAGUGGGGGAGGGGCUGAGCCAGGGAAGCCAAAGGGGGUCCCUCCCCCCCAGCCCCGGGGGGGGUCCUCUGUGAAGCCCAGAGAUGGACCCAGCCCCUGGGGGUGGGAAGAGACAUGGGGCUGCCUGAGAGAGAAGGGGCGCUUCCUUUCUUCUCCCCCCUCCUCCCCCCAGGCUCUCCUGCGCCCAGAGACCCCCUUGGCCCGGCAGGGAGAGGGUGGGCUCCCCUUCCGCCAUGAGAGGAGUGCAAUGGGGUUGUGAGGGGGGGGGAGAGAGAGAGACCCCUUUCUGGGAGAGACCCCUUUCUGCUCCCCUCCCAAGAGGGUCCCCGUCGUGUCUCUGAGGGGCGAGAGAGGAGGAGCCCCUCCCCCCGCUGCUGCUUCCCCUCAACGACUUUUCCCGCCUUUUCCCAACUUCCCGCCCUUCGGGAUCUGAGCCUCGCCUCAGUUUCAGGCGCCGAGGAGGCAGAUUCCCCGGGAUCCCUGCUUUCUGAGUGGAUUUCUUCUCAUUCACCCUGAUCUCUGCUCAUAUAUCUGGCUUUUGGAGCUUCUCUCUGCUUCUGUAUAAAACCCCCUCACCACUGCCUGCAUCCCAUACAAACGAAGCUGGCACCAUCCAUCCAUUGGUUCUCGCAGGGUUCCAGUUCAUGGUCAACAAGAUUAAACAGAUGCACGUUGGGCUGAUGAGGAGGAGGUGAGGGACCAGGAGUGAGACCUUGGGGUCAUGUUAGGUAACUCUGGGAAAUUGUUGACCCUGUGUGCACUGGCUCGGGAAACUGCAAAUCUCACGCUGGGGAUGUUUAGGGAACUGAUUGAAAAUACACCUGCCACUAUCCUAAUGGUUGUAGUGCAGAUCUUGUUGGCAUGCAAAGGGUCGCAAGCCCAGCUGGCUAGUCCCAGGUGGGUCAUCUCCCUCCAGCCGUCCCGCUGCGAAGACCCAUCAGCCUCUGCUCCGAUGU